GGAUUGUGGCUCAGCGGUAGAGUGCUUGCCCAGCAUGCGUGAGAUACUGGGUUCAAUCCUCAGCACCA
rnacentral:tRNA from 1 species